AUGAAGUUAUGUUGCUGCUGGUGGUCACAGGAAUCUGCUUGACCAUUUGUGUGAUUGUGAUUAUUGUUUUAAUCUGUUGCCAAACUCAAAGAACACCAUGCAAAAACUUUAGAGAGACGACAAAAAAGAGAGAGCUGAAGACUGAAGAAAGUGUAUAUUCAAAUGUCAGAGAACUGACUUAAAUAUAAUCAUGUUCAAUAAAGUUGGAUAUGGCUUCCAAUGAAACUUGA